CGCGUAGGCGGUUUCGGAAGUCAAGGGUGAAAGCCCCGAGCUCAACUCGGGAAUUGCCUUUGAAACCACGGAACUAGAGUGUUGGAGAGGAAACGGAAUUUCCAGUGUAGCGGUGAAAUGCGUAGAUAUUGGAAGGAACAUCUGAGGCGAAGGCGGCUUUCUGGACAGACACUGACGCUGAGGCGCGAAAGCCAGGGGAGCGAACG
rnacentral:rRNA from 1 species